CCCGAAGGGACGUCACUCACCCCACGGUCAAGUCAGCAAGGUUUUCUCAUAAGAACGUGGCCCUUAUAGGAAAAGAGUGUAGUUAUUUACAGCUUUAUCUUUUUUUUAAUAUUAAUAUAUUUUGAUUAAUUUCAGAGAGAGAGACAUCAUUGAUGAGAGAGAAUCAUUGAUGAGAGAGAAUCAUUGAUGGGCUGCCUCCUCCACGCCCCCCCACUGGGGAUGGAGCCCACAACCCCGGGCAUGAGCCCUGACCGGGAAUCCAACCGUGACCUGGUUCACAGGUUGACCCUCAACUACUGAGCCACGCAGGCCCGGCUCUAUCGUCUUUUUAUACAACAAACCUGAACAAUGCGCGCCACAACCUUGGAACAAGGAGUAAACCAAUUCUCAGAGGUCAAGGAGCUUGAUAAAGCUGGUGGGCAGAAGCAAGGAAGGAAGCAGAUCUAUAAACCAAAUCCAGCGUUGCCCUGCAAGUCACACUUCCGCCCCCCACCUCACUUCCUGAUUUCUUUCUUCAUCAACUAGAAUGGAUUCUUGCGUUAAAUGGGAAGUUGGACCGCCAAUCUUUCACUCUGUACCAACUCUUCAGACACGAUGCCAAGCCUUUAUCUGCUCCCCCAAAACUCAGCCUUGGUAGUUAUUCUAUUGUCCUUGAGUUCCAGUCUGAGCACCUCCUUCUCCAAGACCUGUUUCAUUCUGUUAGCGCAUCUUUUGCGGCAUUGUACUUGUUUGUGUGUAUCUUCUUUUUAUUAAAAAUAUAU